GCCGUGGCUCAGUGUUGGAGCAUCUGUUCUGCAUGCAGAAGGUCCUAGGUUCAACCCCCAGCAGCAUCU